GAUGAACGCUGGCGGCGUGCCUAAUACAUGCAAGUCGAGCGAACAGAUAAGGAGCUUGCUCCUUUGACGUUAGCGGCGGACGGGUGAGUAACACGUGGAUAACCUACCUAUAAGACUGGGAUAACUUCGGGAAACCGGAGCUAAUACCGGAUAACAUAUUGAACCGCAUGGUUCAAUAGUGAAAGGCGGCUUUGCUGUAACUUAUAGAUGGAUCCGCGCCGUAUUAGCUAGUUGGUAAGGUAACGGCUUACCAAGGCAACGAUACGUAGCCGACCUGAGAGGGUGAUCGGCCACACUGGAACUGAGACACGGUCCAGACUCCUACGGGAGGCAGCAGUAGGGAAUCUUCCGCAAUGGGCGAAAGCCUGACGGAGCAACGCCGCGUGAGUGAUGAAGGUCUUCGGAUCGUAAAACUCUGUUAUCAGGGAAGAACAAAUGUGUAAGUAACUGUGCACAUCUUGACGGUACCUGAUCAGAAAGCCACGGCUAACUACGUG
rnacentral:rRNA from 1 species